rnacentral:rRNA from 1 species
GACGAACGCUGGCGGCGUGCUUAACACAUGCAAGUCGAACGGUGAAGCGCCUUCCUUUUUGGUGGGUGUGGAUGAGUGGCGAACGGGUGAGUAACACGUGAGUAACCUGCCCCCUUCUUCUGGAUAACCGCAUGAAAGUGUGGCUAAUACGGGAUAUUCUGGGUCUGUCGCAUGAUGGGUCUGGGAAAGAUAUUGUUUCGGUGGGGGAUGGGCUCGCGGCCUAUCAGCUUGUUGGUGGGGUGAUGGCCUACCAAGGCGGUGACGGGUAGCCGGCCUGAGAGGGUGGACGGUCACACUGGGACUGAGACACGGCCAAGACUCCUACGCGAGGCAGCAGUGGGGAAUAUUGCACAAUGGGCGAAAGCCUGAUGCAGCGACGCCGCGUGAGGGAUGGAGGCCUUCGGGUUGUGAACCUCUUUCGCCAGUGAAGCAGGCCUGCCUCGUUUGUGGGUGGGUUGACGGUAGCUGGAUAAGAAGCGCCGGCUAACUACGUG